rnacentral:rRNA from 1 species
AACCUGCCCAAGAGAUCGGGAUAACACCUGGAAACAGAUGCUAAUACCGGAUAACAACAGAUGAUGCCUAUCAACUGUUUAAAAGGUGGUUCUGCUAUCACUCUUGGAUGGACCUGCGGUGCAUUAGCUAGUUGGUAGGGUAACGGCCUACCAAGGCGAUGAUGCAUAGCCGAGUUGAGAGACUGAUCGGCCACAUUGGGACUGAGACACGGCCCAAACUCCUACGGGAGGCAGCAGCC